rnacentral:rRNA from 1 species
AACUGCGAAUGGCUCAUUAAAUCAGUUAUCGUUUAUUUGAUAGUACCUUACUACAUGGAUACCUGUGGUAAUUCUAGAGCUAAUACAUGCUAAAAACCCCGACUUCGGAAGGGGUGUAUUUAUUAGAUAAAAAACCAAUGCCCUUCGGGGCUCCUUGGUGAUUCAUAAUAACUUAACGAAUCGCAUGGCCUUGCGCCGGCGAUGGUUCAUUCAAAUUUCUGCCCUAUCAACUUUCGAUGGUAGGAUAGUGGCCUACCAUGGUGGCAACGGGUAACGGGGAAUUAGGGUUCGAUUCCGGAGAGGGAGCCUGAGAAACGGCUACCACAUCCAAGGAAGGCAGCAGGCGCGCAAAUUACCCAAUCCCGACACGGGGAGGUAGUGACAAUAAAUACUGAUACGGGGCUCUUUCGGGUCUCGUAAUUGGAAUGAGUACAAUCUAAAUCCCUUAACGAGGAACAAUUGGAGGGCAAGUCUGGUGCCAGCAGCCGCGGUAAUUCCAGCUCCAAUAGCGUAUAUUAAAGUUGUUGCAGUUAAAAAGCUCGUAGUUGAACCUUGGGUCUGGCUGGCCGGUCCGCCUCACCGCGAGUACUGGUCCGGCUGGACCUUUCCUUCUGGGGAAUCCCAUGGCCUUCACUGGCUGUGGGGGGAACCAGGACUUUUACUGUGAAAAAAUUAGAGUGUUCAAAGCAGGCCUUUGCUCGAAUACAUUAGCAUGGAAUAAUAGAAUAGGACGUGCGGUUCUAUUUUGUUGGUUUCUAGGACCGCCGUAAUGAUUAAUAGGGAUAGUCGGGGGCGUCAGUAUUCAGCUGUCAGAGGUGAAAUUCUUGGAUUUGCUGAAGACUAACUACUGCGAAAGCAUUCGCCAAGGAUGUUUUCAUUAAUCAGGGAACGAAAGUUAGGGGAUCGAAGACGAUCAGAUACCGUCGUAGUCUUAACCAUAAACUAUGCCGACUAGGGAUCGGGCGGUGUUUCUAUGAUGACCCGCUCGGCACCUUACGAGAAAUCAAAGUUUUUGGGUUCUGGGGGGAGUAUGGUCGCAAGGCUGAAACUUAAAGAAAUUG